UACAGAGGUCUCAAGCGUUGUUCGGAUUCAUUGGGCGUAAAGGGUGCGUAGGCGGCGCGGUAAGUCGGGUGUGAAAUCUCGGAGCUUAACUCCGAAACUGCAUUCGAUACUGCCGUGCUUGAGGACUGGAGAGGAGACUGGAAUUUACGGUGUAGCGGUGAAAUGCGUAGAUAUCGUAAGGAACACCGGUGGCGAAGGCGGCUACCUGGACAGAAACUGACGCUGAGGCACGAAAGCUAGGGGAGCAAACAGG
rnacentral:rRNA from 1 species